GGGUUGUGAGGUUAAGCGACUAAGCGUACACGGUGGAUGCCCUGGCAGUCAGAGGCGAUGAAGGGCGUGCUAAUCUGCGAUAAGCGCCGGUAAGGUGAUAUGAACCGUUAUAACCGGCGAUACCCGAAUGGGGAAACCCAGUGUGACUCGUCACACUAUCAUUAACUGAAUCCAUAGGUUAAUGAGGCGAACCGGGGGAACUGAAACAUCUAAGUACCCCGAGGAAAAGAAAUCAACCGAGAUUCCCCCAGUAGCGGCGAGCGAACGGGGAGGAGCCCAGAGCCUGAAUCAGCAUGUGUGUUAGUGGAAGCGUCUGGAAAGGCGCGCGAUACAGGGUGACAGCCCCGUACACAAAAGCGCAUGUGCUGUGAGCUCGAUGAGUAGGGCGGGACACGUGGUAUCCUGUCUGAAUAUGGGGGGACCAUCCUCCAAGGCUAAAUACUCCUGACUGACCGAUAGUGAACCAGUACCGUGAGGGAAAGGCGAAAAGAACCCCGGCGAGGGGAGUGAAAAAGAACCUGAAACCGUGUACGUACAAGCAGUGGGAGCACCCUUCGGGGUGUGACUGCGUACCUUUUGUAUAAUGGGUCAGCGACUUAUAUUCUGUAGCAAGGUUAACCGAAUAGGGGAGCCGGAGGGAAACCGAGUCUUAAUUGGGCGUUAAGUUGCAGGGUAUAGACCCGAAACCCGGUGAUCUAGCCAUGGGCAGGUUGAAGGUUGGGUAACACUAACUGGAGGACCGAACCGACUAAUGUUGAAAAAUUAGCGGAUGACCUGUGGCUGGGGGUGAAAGGCCAAUCAAACCGGGAGAUAGCUGGUUCUCCCCGAAAGCUAUUUAGGUAGCGCCUCGUGAAUUCAUCUCCGGGGGUAGAGCACUGUUUCGGCUAGGGGGCCAUCCCGGCUUACCAACCCGAUGCAAACUGCGAAUACCGGAGAAUGUUAUCACGGGAGACACACGGCGGGUGCUAACGUCCGUCGUGAAGAGGGAAACAACCCAGACCGCCAGCUAAGGUCCCAAAGUCAUGGUUAAGUGGGAAACGAUGUGGGAAGGCCCAGACAGCCAGGAUGUUGGCUUAGAAGCAGCCAUCAUUUAAAGAAAGCGUAAUAGCUCACUGGUCGAGUCGGCCUGCGCGGAAGAUGUAACGGGGCUAAACCAUGCACCGAAGCUGCGGCAGCGACACUGUGUGUUGUUGGGUAGGGGAGCGUUCUGUAAGCCUGUGAAGGUGGCCUGUGAGGGGUGCUGGAGGUAUCAGAAGUGCGAAUGCUGACAUAAGUAACGAUAAAGCGGGUGAAAAGCCCGCUCGCCGGAAGACCAAGGGUUCCUGUCCAACGUUAAUCGGGGCAGGGUGAGUCGACCCCUAAGGCGAGGCCGAAAGGCGUAGUCGAUGGGAAACGGGUUAAUAUUCCCGUACUUGGUGUUACUGCGAAGGGGGGACGGAGAAGGCUAUGUUGGCCGGGCGACGGUUGUCCCGGUUUAAGCGUGUAGGUGUGUGUUCCAGGUAAAUCCGGUUCACUUUAACACUGAGGCGUGAUGACGAGGCACUACGGUGCUGAAGCAACAAAUGCCCUGCUUCCAGGAAAAGCCUCUAAGCAUCAGGUAACAUCAAAUCGUACCCCAAACCGACACAGGUGGUCAGGUAGAGAAUACCAAGGCGCUUGAGAGAACUCGGGUGAAGGAACUAGGCAAAAUGGUGCCGUAA
rnacentral:rRNA from 1 species